ACACUCCUGGGGGAGGCAGCAGUAGGGAAUCUUCCACAAUGGGUGCAAACCUGAUGGAGCAAUGCCGCGUGAGUGAAGAAGGUCUUCGGAUCGUAAAGCUCUGUUGUUAGAGAAGAACACGUGCUAGGUAACUACUAGCGCCUUGACGGUAUCUAACCAGAAAGUCACGGCUAACUACGUGCCAGCAGCCGCGGUAAUACGUAGGUGACAAGCGUUGUCCGGAUUUAUUGGGCGUAAAGGGAGCGCAGGCGGUCUGUUUAGUCUAAUGUGAAAGCCCACGGCUUAACCGUGGAACGGCAUUGGAAACUGACAGACUUGAAUGUAGAAGAGGAAAAUGGAAUUCCAAGUGUAGCGGUGGAAUGCGUAGAUAUUUGGAGGAACACCAGUGGCGAAGGCGAUUUUCUGGUCUAACAUUGACGCUGAGGCUCGAAAGCGUGGGGAGCGAACAGGAUUAGAUACCCCAGUAGUCCCAUG
rnacentral:rRNA from 1 species